AAAGAUAUAUUGCAGAGGGUGUUCUUUCAUUGACAUCCUCUGCAAUAUAUCUUUCA
rnacentral:pre_miRNA from 1 species